AUGUUGUAUAUAUGUUGCGAGCUCUGCUCCAAAUAUGUGCGUGUAGACGUCGUGGCUUACACCUAUCAGUUGCUGCUGGUGUUCGUCGACGAAGAUACAAUGGCUGAUGGUGGGCACGGCGGUUUUGGCUUAGGCUUAGUCUUGAGCGGACACGGGCGCCUUCGGCUUUGGCUUUUGCUUCGGUGUAUUAGGAGGGCUCGGCAGCUUGGGCGGGAUUGGCGUCGGUGGCAUGGGCGGCGUUGGUGGCAUGGGUGGGGUUGGCGUCGGUGGCAUGGNNNNNNNNNNNNNNNNNNNNNNNNNNNNNNNNNNNNNNNUGGGCGGCGUUGGCGGCAUGGGCGGGGUUGGCUUCGGUGGCGUGGGCGAUGGCGGCGGCAUGGGCUUAGGUGGAGCGGGCUUUGGAGGUGUGGGCUUUGGUGGCGUUGGCUUUGGCUUAGGUGGCUUCGGACUCGGGGGCUUUGGACCCGGGCUUGGGCGGUGGCGGCGGCGGCGGUGGUGGUGGUGGCGGAGGCUCCUGUAGCAGUCCAUGAUGCACUUCUUCUUGCACUUGAAGUACUUAACCCAGUCGCUGCCGCCGCUGUCGUCGUCGUCGUCGUCAUCAUCAUCAUCGUCAUCAUCAUCAUCAUCCUUAUCGUCGUCAUCAUCAUCAUCCUUAUCAUCGUCGUCCUUGUCAUCCUUAUCAUCGUCGUCCUUGUCGUCCUUAUCGUCGUCGUCCUUGUCGUCCUUAUCAUCGCCGUCGUCCUUGUCGUCAUCUUUGUCGUAGUCCUUGUUAUCGUCGUCGUUGGCAUCACCGAUGUGGCCGACUGCAUGAUCGGUGGCUGGAGUGCCAUCGGUGGAGCGUACGACUGCUGCAGUGCCAUUGGUGGAGUUGACGGGGAUGGAGGCGGCUGCUGCACCAUCAUCGACGGUUGUGUGGACUGCGGGCUGAGUACGGCUGGCAGAGCGGGCGGCGGCAUCAUGGUGGCCGUCGCACUUGUGCAUGCAGGAAGAGUAGCACCGCCAGCAAUGUGCUCCCUUUGCGGGUUGGGGAUCCGCUGCCCCCGCCGCGGUGAAGAGCGCCGCCACGGCCAGGAGGACGGCGAUCCUGGCCGCCGCCAUGGAAACCAUGCUUCUCCGAUGAAAUGUGUGGAGAUGGAGAUCGAUGGUGUGGCUGGCUUU
rnacentral:rRNA from 1 species